UACGUAGGGGGCGAGCGUUGUCCGGAAUUACUGGGCGUAAAGGGCGUGUAGGCGGUUAGUUAAGUCAGGUGUGAAAACUGUGGGCUCAACCCAGAGGCUGCAUCUGAAACUGGCUAACUUGAGGGUAGGAGAGGGAAGUGGAAUUCCUAGUGUAGCGGUGAAAUGCGUAGAUAUUAGGAGGAACACCAGUGGCGAAGGCGACUUUCUGGCCUAACCCUGACGCUGAGGCGCGAAAGCGUGGGGAGCAAACAGGAUUAGAUACCCGUGUAGUCC
rnacentral:rRNA from 1 species